UACGUAGGCAGCAAGCGUUGUUCGGAGUUACUGGGCGUAAAGGGUGCGUAGGCGGCUUUUUAAGUCCGUUGUGAAAGCCCCGAGCUCAACUUGGGAAUUGCAGUGGAUACUGGCAGGCUGGAGUACGGUAGAGGAAGGUGGAAUUCCCGGUGUAGCAGUGAAAUGCGUAGAUAUCGGGAGGAACACCAGUGGCGAAGGCGGCCUUCUGGACCAGUACUGACGCUCAUGCACGAAAGCGUGGGGAGCAAACAGG
rnacentral:rRNA from 1 species